GUGAGUAACACGUAUCCAACCUGCCCUUUACUCGGGGAUAGCCUUUCGAAAGAAAGAUUAAUACCCGAUAGCAUAAUGAUUCCGCAUGGUUUCAUUAUUAAAGGAUUCCGGUAAAGGAUGGGGAUGCGUUCCAUUAGGUUGUUGGUGAGGUAACGGCCCACCAAGCCUUCGAUGGAUAGGGGUUCUGAGAGGAAGGUCCCCCACAUUGGAACUGAGACACGGUCCAAACUCCUACGGGAGGCAGCAGUGAGGAAUAUUGGUCAAUGGGCGUUAGCCUGAACCAGCCAAGUAGCGUGAAGGAUGAAGGCUCUAUGGGUCGUAAACUUCUUUUAUAUAAGAAUAAAGUGCAGUAUGUAUACUGUUUUGUAUGUAUUAUAUGAAUAAGGAUCGGCUAACUCCGUGCCAGCAGCCGCGGUAAUACGGAGGAUCCGAGCGUUAUCCGGAUUUAUUGGGUUUAAAGGGAGCGUAGGUGGACUGGUAAGUCAGUUGUGAAAGUUUGCGGCUCAACCGUAAAAUUGCAGUUGAUACUGUCAGUCUUGAGUACAGUAGAGGUGGGCGGAAUUCGUGGUGUAGCGGUGAAAUGCUUAGAUAUCACGAAGAACUCCGAUUGCGAAGGCAGCUCACUGGACUGCAACUGAAACUGAUGCUCGAAAGUGUGG
rnacentral:rRNA from 1 species